UAGCUUUUGAAAUGACCCAAAUUCCUUUAAUUUUGUUGUUUUUAAGGAAAGGUCAAAUAAUUGGGGAAAAAAAACUUUCGAUGAGGAGUUAUACUAAGGAUUUACAAAAAAGCACACUUUGUUGAUAAAAUAUGAACUGUUUGAAAGAUUUAUAAGAGUCUAAGAUCCUGCAUAGCCCUUCAGAAUUUGAAGCAGCAGGAAACCACUGUGAUAUUUUUAAAGCAAGUAUUUAUAAAAGUAAUUGGGUACUCUUGAUGUGGAAUAAGGAGGAAAAAAAUAACGGUAAGGAAGCUAUAUUGGACUUGACAUAAAAGUGAGGUAUGUAAUUUGGGAGCAGAAGGAAGGGCAAGUGACGCGUACACACAGUACCUGCGGGCCUCUCGCCCUGCAGAGCUGAAGGCAGGACAGAAUGGUGCUGGAGGGAGGAGGGCUCUUCAAAGCCCAUGAGCAGUGCUCAGGUAUUGCAGCUAAUGUCUGAAACCCCAGUGUAAAACUCCAAGGCCCUCUAAAACAGAUUCCAUGCAAACGGGACAGAAAACACAUGUUUCUGAGAACAUUUUGGUUAAAAUUAAAAAAUGUGGCAGAGAUUGUGCCAAUGAUUUACUCGAGAAUAUCCGAACCAGAUGCUGCUAGCCCGUAAUUCCAAGUAAUUUGCCAAAAUUAUGUAUUUACUUUAAUCCUAGAGAUGAAGUUAAAAUAUGCAUGGUUUUUGUUAUUUGUGAUGUAGAAGAAAAAAAAAAUCUGAUAUGACUUCAGCUAAUACCGGAUAGAAGACAAAGAAAUGGGCAAGGAUGAAGCCUGGCUCACUAGCAUGGCAUGUAAAACUUCCUGCCCAAUGGACCUGUACUUGGCACACAGGCUCCAAGAAGUGUUCGGAGGUUUCUGAAAUGUGCUACCUGUCCAGUUUCAAGAAAACUUCAAAAAGUAAGACACCUCCUCCCCGCCCCCCACCACCGCCUUGGGGACAAGAACCGUACCAGCUAUCAGACACACUUGAGACUGCAGUCAUUGUUCCAGCCAGAAGAGCCCAGCCCAAGAAUGUAUGUCUGUCAUUAAAUGAAGGAUCUCAAAAUGACAUCAUCCUGGAUUGCCUGGGUGAGCUCUGAAUCCAACAACAAACGUCCUUUAAGAGAUACACAGAAAAGAAACACGUGAGGAGAAGAGGAGAUGGCCGCGAGAAGAUGGAGGGAGAGAUUGGAAUGACGCAGCCAUGCACCAGAGAGCACGUGGGGCCAUCAGGAGAUGAAAGAGGCAAGGAUGACUCUACCCUAGAGCUUUUGGAGGGAGCGUGGCCCUGUCCACACCUUGAUUUUGGACUCCCCCAGAACUAUGGGAGAAUACAUUUUUGUUGU